rnacentral:rRNA from 1 species
GACGAACGCUGGCGGCGUGCUUAACACAUGCAAGUCGAACGGAAAGGCCCUGCUUUUGUGUGGUGCUCGAGUUGCGAACGGGUGAGUAACACGUGAGUAACCUGCCCUUGACUGGGGGAUAACUGCAGGAAACUGGGGCUAAUACCGGAUAGGAGCUGCUGCUGCAUGGGGUUGGUUGGAAAGUUUCGGUGGUUGGGGAUGGACUCGGGGCUUAUCAGCUUGUGGGUGGGGUAGUGGCUUACCAAGGCUUUGACGGGUAGCCGGCCUGAGAGGGUGACCGGGCACAGUGGGACUGAGAUAGGGACCAGAGUGAUACGGGAGGCAGCAGUGGGGAAUAUUGCACAAUGGGCGGAAGCAUGAUGCAGCAACGUCGCGUGCGGGAUGACGGCCUUAGGGGUGGAAACAGCUUUAGCCUGUGACGAAGCGUGAGUGACGGUAACGGGUAAAGAAGCACCGGCUAACUACGUG